rfam:Ixodes scapularis strain Wikel colony gcontig_1107728570308, whole genome shotgun sequence.
GCAGUCGUGGCCGAGUGGUUAAGGUGAUGGACUAGAAAUCUUUUGGGGUCUCCCCGCACAGGUUCGAAUCCUGUGGACUGCG